UUAAAAAAUAACCAUGAAAAUGUCUUGGACUUAGUUUUUUCCCCAUUCAUUUGGAACACAUUAUUUCCUUUGCAAAAGGACUAUCUCCAAACUAAUUGUUCACUUAUAUUUCACUUAUAGAAACGAGCAAAAAAUGUCUUAAUUCCAGUUCACUUAUACCACUGAUAAACCACUUAUAGGUGAAAUAUAUGUGAAGUAUCAGUGAAGUAUCAGUUAACCAUUUUUUUCACUUAUACUUAUACACACUGAUACUUCACUUAUACCAAUAUAUAGGUAACUUAUAAGUGGUGUAUAAGUAAAGUAUAUUCCACUUAUAAGUUUGUAUAGGUUAUUUCCGUAAGGGAUUGCAGCUGCCUAUGCCUGCAAGAACGGUUUUGCACCCACGAUCUCUUUGUAAUUAUGACACUAUUUGUAAUUGCCCGUCAGCUGAUAAUUCACAAAUAACUACCCAGUAAUUUCCCCAGAUCAGAUUUUCGUAAACAUUUUCUUUUUUCAUGUAGAGGUAUCAGAGAACCAAAAUCCAUUGAGACACCUUUUCUAACAAUUAUCUUGAACCUUCAUGAAAAAACCCCUUUAAUGACUGGACCAACAGGCUGUAGAAGGAGAUGAACUAUGGUUAGAGAUAUGGGAAUAUAUGAGAGGUUAAUUAUAUGAGAGGUUAAUAUGUGCAUUGUAUGUGGUGUAGAGAUGUCAUAUUGGGGAACUCUGGCUGUACACGUAGUUGGAGAUGUGGGAAUGUAUGAGAGGUUAAUAUGUGCAUUGUAUGUGGUGUAGAGAUGUAAUAUCGGGGAACACAGGUGGUAUACAUGUAGUUGGAGAUGUGGUAAUGUAUGAGAGGUUAAUAUGUGCAAUGUAUGUGCUGUAGAGAUGUAAUAUUGGGGAACACAGGCUGUACACGUAGUUGGAGAUGUGGGAAUGUAUGAGAGGUUAAUAUGUGCAUUGUAUGUGGUGUAGAGAUGUAAUAUCGGGGAACACAGGUGGUAUACAUGUAGUUGGAGAUGUGGGAAUGUAUGAGAGGUUAAUAUGUGCAUUGUAUGUGCUGUAGAGAUGUAAUAUUGGGGAACACAGGCUGUACACAUAGAGAUGUGGGAAUAUGUGCGAGGUUAAUGAGUAUGUGGUGUUGAGAUACAUGUGGUCAGGUUGCAUUGUAAACAUUACUACUCAAAGCAUGUUAAAGGUCAAAUUAUUUUUUAAACAAUUUAAAUUUGAUGUAUUGAUAUUGGCACCACAAGUGUGAGAUGAGAUCUAAUGGACAUUGUAUUGAUAUCAGAAUCGCAAGUGUGAGAUAACAAGAUUUAAUGUAUUGAUAUCAGAAUCGCAAGUGUGAGAUGACAAGAUUUAAUUUAUUGAUAUCAGAAUCAUAAGUGUGAGCUGGUGUUUAAGCCGAUUCUAAUGUUAAUGAUAAAUCUGUAUCACAAGUUUGUUUCACAUACAAAUGCACUAAGUGACUUGACAGUCACUCCAAAUGGUCAGCACGAGCGGAACGUGACCUGACCUUCGAAGUCCAAACAUUAACAUACACGUACACUUGAGGCAGGUUCAGCUCCUACAGGUCAUCACCAAUUUCACUAUAAAUUUGACAGUAUAUAUUUUCCUGUUCUCAAUGGAGGAGCUGGCCGACGCUGGCACUUGUACCCAGGACAGGUGUGCGCUACAACAGCUUGCUCUGAAUGUGCACGUUAAAACGCCCUAACCUAACCUGACAGUAUAAGACAGUUCUGUUGAGUGUUCACAAGCGAGGGUGGUCAUACUCGCUAUUAACCAAAACCUGGGGCAAGUUCAGCCAGCCAUUUAGCAGUAAAGUCGGCUAGACUAGUUUUUACUCCACACAUUAAAACAAAUAAUCAUUUUGGGAACUAGUCAAAAUAAGCUUGUAAAGAUUUGCAUCGCUGUUACUGAUCACGGGACAGGUGUGUUACCCGUUAGCAUCGCUUACUGGGGACAGGUGUGUUACCCGUUAGCAUCGCUUACUGGGGACAGGUGUAUUACUGAACAGGUGUGUUACCCGAUCACUUACUGUCACUGAUCACUGGACAGGUGUGUGUUACCAAUUAGCAUCCCUUACUGUCACUGAUCACAGGACAGGUGUGUGUUGCCCGUUAGCAUCGCUUACUGUCACUGAUCACGGGACAGGUGUGUGUUGCCCGAUCACUUCACAUGUUCUGUGAUGCACUUCACAUGUUCUGUGAUGCGGCAACUUGACAGAUUUUGGUUGAUUAUAUUUUUGUCAAGACAUUGGACCCUCAACUAGUUUUGAGUAUAAUAUAUGCAUAUUGAUUUAUGUACAUAUCAUCAUAGUAAUAAUAAUAAACUAGAGGACAAAGUGUU